AUCUACUAAUCAUAGCAAUUUGUUCCCAUGAGCAACACCUCCCACUUUUUGUUUUCCUGACACCUUCUAGGUAAGGUCUUAAAGUAAACCCAUCAUGAGAGAGGCCUGCUUUUGAUUUGCUUUGCUGAUCAUGUUAUUAAAAUCCUAGUUUUCUGUUCUAUAUAAACUUCAUCUGCGCGAGUAU